GAAAAAGUGUUGAUGAGGAGAAGUAAAGAAACGAAGUUUGAAAGAGAGAACCAUCACCGGCUGAAAGUGGUUUAGGCCUCUCGUUUCUUGAAAUGCACCUCUGAAUCUUAUUCCGAACGAUGUAUUUUAGUAGGAAUAAGCGGUUUUCCUAUCGUUAAAAGGACGAAGUUGGGAUGCAAGAAGUAGUCAUACUUAUAUUGCAUUCAAACAGAGUGGAACCGCGUAGAAAGCGUCUCUGUC
rnacentral:ncRNA from 1 species